rnacentral:rRNA from 1 species
AGCAGCCGCGGUAAUUCCAGCUCCAAUAGCGUAUAUUAAAGUUGUUGCAGUUAAAAAGCUCGUAGUUGAAUUUCGGGAUCAAUUUGUUGGUCGUGCCUCGGUACGUACUGGCAUUAUUGGUUUCUACCUUCUGAAGAACCUUGAUGUCAUUAAUUUGGUGUCUUGGGGAAUCAGGACUGUUACUUUGAAAAAUUAGAGUGUUUAAAGCAGGCAUACGCUUGAAUACAUUAGCAUGGAAUAAUGAAAUAGGACGUUUGAUUCUAUUUUGUUGGUUUCUAGGAUCGACGUAAUGAUUAAUAGGGAUAGUUGGGGGCAUUAGUAUUCAAUUGUCAGAGGUGAAAUUCUUGGAUUUAUUGAAGACUAACUACUGCGAAAGCAUUUGCCAAGGAUGUUUUCAUUAAUCAAGAACGAAAAUUAGGGGAUCGAAGACGAUCAGAUACCGUCGUAGUC